rnacentral:lncRNA from 1 species
CUGAAAUGCAAGUGUAUAGCCCUGUACUGCAUACUUACAUUCUGUUUGUUGGUUUUGUUGCAUCCUUAGUAUUCUUUCUGAUUGUGACUCUUUCAAUGAAUUUAACAAAACAAAAUAUGUUUUACAACCCCAUGGACACGUAAGGAACUCAUCAAGAUAUUCAACCAUGCCCAGAGUUCUAUAAUCAAUUUGUCUUGAAGUCAGUUUCAACACACACUCAACCAACAUAACUAAUUUCAGUUUAAAUUUAUCUUCUUCAUCUUCACACAUGUGGAAAGCUUCAAAAAGCAUUAUAUUGCUAAUUCUGUUUGCGCCAUUGAAGUAUUGAUUUCUAAAACGACCGUUAUUAUAAUCAAUUUCUAUAGAUGGUUCAUGGCGAGGUAGUACAGUAAUGAGGUAAAAUUCUUACAUGCCAAACCUAGUAAGAAAGUCAUCUAACCGUACCCAAAGUUCAUUGUUUUGCCACAAUAUACAAGUCUCAUUAUAAAUUCGUGUAUCAACUUACUAGUAAAUUGUUCUUCUCAUCCUCUGAAAAUAACUCCAUAAAUAAAUUCAUAAAAAUUACUACACAUCAGAGAACAUUGUUCAUUUGUAUCUAUAAAUUCUACAAAAUCUUUAAAGUAUUCACGAUUUGGAUACUGAAUGAUGAUAACAGAAAAUCAUUGUUCUGAAGAAAGAACGUAUUCUAAAGACAUCUGCAUAAAUUAUACA